rnacentral:rRNA from 1 species
ACGAACGCUGGCGGCGUGGAUAAGACAUGCAAGUCGAACGAGAGAAUUGCUAGCUUGCUAAUAAUUCUCUAGUGGCGCACGGGUGAGUAACACGUGAGUAACCUGCCCCCGAGAGCGGGAUAGCCCUGGGAAACUGGGGUUAAUACCGCAUAGUAUCGAAAGAUUAAAGCAGCAAUGCGCUUGGGGAUGGGCUCGCGGCCUAUUAGUUAGUUGGUGAGGUAACGGCUCACCAAGGCGAUGACGGGUAGCCGGUCUGAGAGGAUGUCCGGCCACACUGGAACUGAGACACGGUCCAGACACCUACGGGUGGCAGCAGUCGAGAAUCAUUCACAAUGGGGGAAACCCUGAUGGUGUGACGCCGCGUGGGGGAAUGAAGGUCUUCGGAUUGUAAACCCCUGUCAUGUGGGAGCAAAUUAAAAAGAUAGUACCACAAGAGGAAGAGACGGCUAACUCUGUGCCAGCAGCCGCGGUAAUACAGAGGUCUCAAGCGUUGUUCGGAAUCACUGGGCGUAAAGCGUGCGUAGGCUGUUUCGUAAGUCGUGUGUGAAAGGCGCGGGCUCAACCCGCGGACGGCACAUGAUACUGCGAGACUAGAGUAAUGGAGGGGGAACCGGAAUUCUCGGUGUAGCAGUGAAAUGCGUAGAUAUCGAGAGGAACACUCGUGGCGAAGGCGGGUUCCUGGACAUUAACUGACGCUGAGGCACGAAGGCCAGGGGAGCGAAAGGGAUUAGAUACCCCUGUAGUCCUGGCAGUAAACGGUGCACGCUUGGUGUGCGGGGAAUCGACCCCCUGCGUGCCGGAGCUAACGCGUUAAGCGUGCCGCCUGGGGAGUACGGUCGCAAGAUUAAAACUCAAAGAAAUUGACGGGGACCCGCACAAGCGGUGGAGUAUGUGGCUUAAUUCGAUGCAACGCGAAGAACCUUACCUGGGCUUGACAUGUAAUGAACAACAUGUGAAAGCAUGCGACUCUUCGGAGGCGUUACACAGGUGCUGCAUGGCCGUCGUCAGCUCGUGUCGUGAGAUGUUUGGUUAAGUCCAGCAACGAGCGCAACCCCUGUUGCCAGUUACCAGCACGUGAAGGUGGGGACUCUGGCGAGACUGCCCAGAUCAACUGGGAGGAAGGUGGGGACGACGUCAGGUCAGUAUGGCCCUUAUGCCCAGGGCUGCACACGUACUACAAUGCCCAGUACAGAGGGGGCCGAAGCCGCGAGGCGGAGGAAAUCCUGAAAACUGGGCCCAGUUCGGACUGUAGGCUGCAACCCGCCUACACGAAGCCGGAAUCGCUAGUAAUGGCGCAUCAGCUACGGCGCCGUGAAUACGUUCCCGGGUCUUGUACACACCGCCCGUCACAUCAUGGAAGCCGGUCGCACCCGAAGUAUCUGAAGCCAACCGCAAGGAGGCAGGGUCCUAAGGUGAGACUGGUAACUGGGAUG